rnacentral:rRNA from 1 species
GCAAGUCGAGCGGACAUCUUCGGAUGUUAGCGGCGGACGGGUGAGUAACGCGUGGGAACGUACCUUUUGCUUCGGAAUAGCCUCGGGAAACUGGGAGUAAUACCGGAUGUGCUCUUCGGAGGAAAGAUUUAUCGGCAAAAGAUCGGCCCGCGUUGGAUUAGGUAGUUGGUGGGGUAAUGGCCUACCAAGCCUACGAUCCAUAGCUGGUUUGAGAGGAUGAUCAGCCACACUGGGACUGAGACACGGCCCAGACUCCUACGGGAGGCAGCAGUGGGGAAUCUUAGACAAUGGGGGAAACCCUGAUCUAGCCAUGCCGCGUGAGCGAUGAAGGCCUUAGGGUUGUAAAGCUCUUUCAGUGGGGAAGAUAAUGACGGUACCCACAGAAGAAGCCCCGGCUAACUCCGUGCCAGCAGCCGCGGUAAUACGGAGGGGGCUAGCGUUGCUCGGAAUUACUGGGCGUAAAGCGCACGUAGGCGGACAGAGAAGUCAGAGGUGAAAUCCCAGGGCUCAACCUUGGAACUGCCUUUGAAACUUUUUGUCUUGAGGUCGAGAGAGGUGAGUGGAAUUCCGAGUGUAGAGGUGAAAUUCGUAGAUAUUCGGAGGAACACAGUGGCGAAGGCGGCUCACUGGCUCGAUACUGACGCUGAGGU